rnacentral:rRNA from 1 species
CAAUAGCGUAUAUUAAAGUUGUUGCAGUUAAAAAGCUCGUAGUUGGAUUUCUGGUCGGAAGCUCCUGUCCUCUGAUGAGCGUACAAGUGCGUCCUACCAUCCUUCUGUUAACCUUUAAGGCUUUCGCGGCUUUCUAGGGGCUCAGAUAUUUUACCUUGAGAAAAUUAGAGUGUUUCAGGCAGGCUAGCGCCGGAAUACAUUAGCAUGGAUUAAUGGAAUAGGACUUUUGCCUCUUCUGUUGGUCAUGAGGCUCGAGUAAUGAUUAAUAGGGAUAGUUGGGGGCAUUAGUACUUAACUGUCAGAGGUGAAAUUCUCGGAUUUGUUAAAGACUAACUUAUGCGAAAGCAUUUGCCAAGGAUGUUUUCAUUAA